GAUGAACGCUGGCGGCGUGCCUAAUACAUGCAAGUCGAGCGAACAGACGAGGAGCUUGCUCCUCUGACGUUAGCGGCGGACGGGUGAGUAACACGUGGAUAACCUACCUAUAAGACUGGGAUAACUUCGGGAAACCGGAGCUAAUACCGGAUAAUAUAUUGAACCGCAUGGUUCAAUAGUGAAAGACGGUUUUGCUGUCACUUAUAGAUGGAUCCGCGCCGCAUUAGCUAGUUGGUAAGGUAACGGCCUACCAAGGCGACGAUGCGUAGCCGACCUGAGAGGGUAAUCGGCCACACUGGAACUGAGACACGGUCCAGACCCCUACGGGAGGCAGCAGUAGGGAAUCUUCCGCAAUGGGCGAAAGCCUGACGGAGCAACGCCGCGUGAGUGAUGAAGGUCUUCGGAUCGUAAAACUCUGUAUUAGGGAAGAACAAAUGUGUAAGUAACUAUGCACGUCUUGACGGUACCUAAUCAGAAAGCCACGGCUAACUACGUG
rnacentral:rRNA from 1 species